rnacentral:rRNA from 1 species
GCAGCAGUAGGAAUCUUCCACAAUGGACGAAAGUCUGAUGGAGCAACGCCGCGUGAGGAAGAAGGUUUUCGGAUCGUAAAACUCUGUUUUGGAGAAGAAUGUAUCUGAUAGUAACUGAUCAGGUAGUGACGGUAUCCAACCAGAAAGCCACGGCUAACUACGUGCCAGCAGCCGCGGUAAUACGUAGGUGGCAAGCGUUGUCCGGAUUUAUUGGGCGUAAAGCGAGCGCAGGCGGUUUCUUAAGUCUGAUGUGAAAGCCUUCGGCUCAACCGAAGAAGUGCAUCGGAAACUGGGAAACUUGAGUGCAGAAGAGGACAGUGGAACUCCAUGUGUAGCGGUGAAAUGCGUAGAUAUAUGGAAGAACACCAGUGGCGAAGGCGGCUGUCUGGUCUGUAACUGACGCUGAGGCUCGAAAGCAUGGGUAGCAAACAGGAUUAGAUACCCUGGUAGUCCAUGCCGUAAACGAUGAGUGCUAGGUGUUGGAGGGUUUCCGCCCUUCAGUGCCGCAGCUAACGCAUUAAGCACUCCGCCUGGGGAGUACGACCGCAAGGUUGAAACUCAAAGGAAUUGACGGGGGCCCGCACAAGCGGUGGAGCAUGUGGUUUAAUUCGAAGCAACGCGAAGAACCUUACCAGGUCUUGACAUCCUUUGACCACUCUAGAGAUAGAGCUUUCCCUUCGGGGACAAAGUGACAGGUGGUGCAUGGUUGUCGUCAGCUCGUGUCGUGAGAUGUUGGGUUAAGUCCCGCAACGAGCGCAACCCUUAUUACUAGUUGCCAGCAUUUAGUUGGGCACUCUAGUGAGACUGCCGGUGACAAACCGGAGGAAGGUGGGGACGACGUCAAAUCAUCAUGCCCCUUAUGACCUGGGCUACACACGUGCUACAAUGGAUGGUACAACGAGUUGCGAGACCGCGAGGUUUAGCUAAUCUCUUAAAACCAUUCUCAGUUCGGAUUGUAGGCUGCAACUCGCCUACAUGAAGCCGGAAUCGCUAGUAAUCGCGGAUCAGCAUGCCGCGGUGAAUACGUUCCCGGGCCUUGUACACACCGCCCGUCACACCAUGAGAGUUUGUAACACCCAAAGCCGGUGAGGUAACCCUUCGGGGAGCCAGCCGUCUAAG